rnacentral:lncRNA from 10 species
UGCCGCCUUGCAGUUUGAUCUCAGACUGCUGUGUUAGCAAUCAGCGAGACUCCGUGGGCGUAGGACCCUCCAAGCCAGGUGCGGGGUAUAAUCUCGUGGUGCGCCGUUUUUUAAGCCCGUCGGAAAAGCGCAGUAUUCGGGUGGGAGUGACCUGAUUUUCCAGGUGCCGUCAGUCACCCCUUUCUUUGACUCGGAAAGGGAACUCCCUGACCCCUUGCGCUUCCCGAGUGAGGCAAUGCCUCGCCCUGCUUCGGCUCGUGCACGGUGUGCGCACCCACUGACCUGCGCCCACUGUCUGGCACUCCCUAGUGAGAUGAACCCGGUACCUCAGAUGGAAAUGCAGAAAUCACCGUCUUCUGCGUCGCUCACGCUGGGAGCUGUAGACUGGAGCUGUUCCUAUUCGGCCAUCUUGGCUCCUCCCCCGUUGGAUGGUUGACGCUUCCUGAUGAUUAAAAUCAAUAUACACAUUCCAGGUUGGAACAGAAGAAAUGCAGUAUUCCUCUGAGGACAUCACUUCUGGAGGAAUACAUGGUUUCAGGCCUCAUGUUUAAGUCUCUGGUAGUUCUUUAUAGCAAUGCAAGAACGGACUAAUACACCUGGACACUGAUCUCAUCUGGUGAAAGACUGUGGGUAAUCAAAGCAUUUCUGCGGAGUGGUUGCAAGGCAUGCCUGCGACGAGACAGGUUGUUGGCAGUGAGUGAGUGUAGCAUUGUUCUUUCUCAAGAUUGCUUUAGCUGUCUUCUUGAUCUUGUGGUUCCAUGUAAAUUUUAUGGUUUCAUACAAUUUUUAAUAUUACUUUUUUUGUUUCUGUAAAUAAAUGUCAUUGAAAUUUUAACAGAGAUUGCAUUCAGUCUGUAAAUUGCUUUGGGUAGCAUGGACAUUUUAACAAUAUUAAUUGUUCCAGUCCAUAAACAUAGGACAUCUUUCCAUUUAUUUGUGUCUACUUCAAAUUCUUUCAUCCACGUUUUACAGUUUUCAGUGUACAGAUUUUUCACCUCCUUUGUUAAAUUUAUUCUUUGUUACUUUAUUCUUUCUGACACUGUUGUAAAUGGAACUUUAUAAAGAAUAAUAUGUUUCGGGUGUUUAUUAAAUAUAGAAACACAGCUGAUUUUCGUGUGUUGAUUUUGAAUCCUGC